GGCUACUACACCAGCAUCACAGAUUGUAAUUGGAGUUCGACACACACUGUUGUUCUGUCUUUUUGCCUACUAAUUCACUAUAGUGGGGACAUAUUGAUAAGAUUGUCUCUCUGCUCAGAAAAGAUCUUGAGUGUUGUUGUUUUUAUUUUAAGAUGUGAAAAAUAGUUUGAAAAGAUGCAAUAAAAUGAGAUGGCCUUGACCAGGGUGUCGUCGUGGGUGACGGCUUGCUAGCAUUUAAAGCAUACCAUGAAAAGAGGAAAUACAUCCUACAUGUUUCUUCACCUGCGGGACAACCACCCGACAUUGUUCGUCAGUGUAAAGGUAUUGCUGCAAGAUUGCUGCCUGCUCUGGCAACGGUCAACAGCACCACUGUGGUUCCCCAUCUGCCUUCACAUAAGCCUGAAGCAUCAAGCCUUAAACCCACAUAGGGACUGGAGUGUGGCCUGAUGGUAAACCCAGCCUACCAAGAACAUUUGGAUACAGCAGAUUGGUAUGCCAAACACUGUUCUUACAUUUCAAAUUUGCCUUUCAUACUGUUGGUCCAAACAGGCUGGUGUCUAAAUUCUGGACCACCAUCAUCAUUUGUCUAUAGACCCUCCUGACCUCUCCAGCUGAAGUCCUGUGAGUUUGAGAGGUUAUUUUUAAUUAUAGUAGUAAAAUAAACAUGAACACGUUUACACCGGUUUACUUAUUAGUUGGUCCAACUCUGACUUUUAAAUCAUCGUUAGUUGUACAUGUGAAGUAUAUGUUAGAAAACCCACUAUUCUUUUCAAAAACAACCUUGGUGUUUUAUUGUCUAGAACUAAUCACAAUGGCCUUUACAGUCGCAGGGAUGAUUUCAUGAUACCUGGCAUUUGUGUCUUUCUGGGGGAGAUAAUCCCCUUAAUCUCAUGAGCUCAGCGCAUAACAGAUCUUUCCUCUAACCCUUGACGUAUUAAUAUGUGGUAUAAGAGAUUAUCUUUUAUGUUAAUAUGGAAGAAUUCAACACCUUUACCAUAAAAUCACUUUUCAUAAAUUAUUUUUAUUUUCAUAACUUUUGUACAUUAUCUCACAAUAAAAAUAAAUAAAAAGAAUAUUUUACCUAAAAAAGUAACCAAGACAAAUACAUGGAAAUCAGUCCGUGCAUCAAUCAUUUAAGGUUGCCAUCACCUUAUAGAUGUCUUUCAAAUAAAGGAACUCAAUAAAUGUCAGUUGAAAAUAAAAAAAAGGUUAACACACGUUCCAAGAAAAAUACGUUUAGUUUGUUUGAAAUCUAGGAGAUACGUAUACAUUUUCUAUGACCUUUUAUAUAAUCUAUUGAUGCCAUUGUUGUUUUGUUGUUUUAGACUACAUCAUGUUCACUAAACUAUUUUACCAGUAACAAUAAAAAAACAACAACAGUAACACAAAGAUUAAAAAAAUACAUUUACAAGCCUCCUUUUUAUGUUGAAUAGUCAACAUAGUAUUAAAAUAGUUCUUUUUUUUUUAAUUAGCUGUCACUUGUGCUGAAUUUUUAAAGAAAAGGCAGUUAUUUUCUUGUUCCUUCAGAGGAGGCCCUACAAUAUUGACUGUGAAAAUGAAAAUCUUUUCAUUUAUUUACGCCCAAUAUUCAAGAUGUCAACAACAUAUCUCACAUACACCAAAUAAAAAUGUCUUUCUGUCCCUGUCUCUACACACUUAGGUGGGACUCAAAGCAUGAAGACAAACUUACAGCCAAAAACAAAUAAAUGAUUACAAAUACAUGUUUAAUUUAAAUACUUUUGUUUUAAUUGAAACUAUUGAAAACUUUUGCCAGAACUGUGACAGAAAGGAGAAAUACAUUUACAACACUCAAUUUAAAAAAUUCACAUUAUACAAAAAAUAAAACACUACGUGUAAGACCUUGGAUGUAACUUGUGAAAUUCCAGAAUUUUGCGUAAUUGUUGGUAAAUGGAGGUGUUUACAGUAGUGAUUUCGACCUUUGAGCUUGCACUGGAUCAGAGGGAGGCCUCAGACAGCACCACGAGGCACCAGGCUCAGCAGCUGUCACUCUGAACUGUGAAAUGCUAAUUCAAACACUGAGAGAGAACAUGAGGAAAUGUAACUUCUUAACAAUUACAAAAAGUAAUUUGCAAUUUUAAUUGUGCUGGCAGUUGAUGCAAACCUGUGAUCCAAACAAGUGUAACAGACUAAAUGUGUGAAAUAACUGUCUACAAAAACGCAGCACGCCCAAAUAUUUUCCCUUUUUCAAUUCUUUCCCCCCUUUUUCUUGCCCCAGGGACGCACACAUCAAAUCACUGAAAUAUGCAGCGUGCAAUUACACAUUAUCCAAUUUGGAGUUGACAAUUACCAUUUGCAUGGUUCUGGGCUCAGCCAAUAAUCAUUUGGAUUUGUCACUGGAUUCAUAAUUCAUAUUCCUUCAUUCAUUCAUAAUCUUACAGCAGUAGAUACAGGGAAGCCAUCACAAACAAGGACAGCAGUAGAGCUGGGCUACUGUCUAAGAGGUCAUUGUUGUCACAGCUUGCUGUCAGAAUUGUGGCCUGGUCAAUGACACCAGUGUUGAUUUAGCCUGCAGCACCGCAGGGCUCUGGCUCUUACAAUACCUAAUCCGAAGAUAAACAAUUGGAAGGACUUUAGCACAUGUUCUUCCACCCCCUAAGACAACUCACUGCAAGCAUCUUCACCACCACCCCCCAUUAUCCAGCCACCAACUAAUCCUGUCAAACACGAUUGGACACACACCCUUUAUGUUACCCUGCUGCUUGUUUUCUUGUACGUUGGCCUCGUCUUCACUGCCCUGCCACUACAGCAGACCAACAGCCCACCACCCAGCCAUCAAAGACCAGCCUUUAAAAGGUAGUUUUUGAGGGCGGAUUGGUAGCUGACCUCCCUGGGGGUCUUUAGCACUGACUGGGGCCCCAGCUGAGAAGCCUGGGCAGCUGCCAACCUCCAGCAACUUCAACCCUGGCUGUCCGGAUGAUUGGGUUUGUCAAGCCGCCACUCCAUGUCAGCCCAGUGCUGGUCUGAUCAUGACAAUUAGAGGGUUAAAGUUAUGGCAUGCUACACCCUGGCAAAGCACUGAGCCACCACUCUGUCUCUGGUGACUGUCAGCUGCAAAUUUCUUAUAAUAUUCCAACAAAACUAGGAAUUUAUCCCAAGCCAAAUGGUCUUAAUGACCAGAUCCACAGAACUUAACCGUAUAAGAAAAAAGCUAGCCAUAAAAAAA